AACGAACGCUGGCGGCGUGUUUAAGACAUGCAAGUCGCACGGUGUCAUUUUGGUAGCAAUACUUGGAUGGCACAGUGGCGCACGGGUGAGUAACACGUGAAUGACAUGCCCUUCAGAGGGGGACAGCCCAGGGAAACUUGGAUUAAUACCCCAUGGUCUCGCAAGAGUAAAGGUGGCCGCAAGGCUGUCGCUGGAGGAUUGGUUCGCGUUCUAUCAGCUUGUUGGCGGGGUAACGGCCCACCAAGGCUACGACGGAUACCUGGUCUGAGAGGACGAUCAGGCACACUGGAACUGAGACACGGUCCAGACACCUACGGGUGGCAGCAGUCGAGAAUAAUUCACAAUGGGGGCAACCCUGAUGGUGCAACGCCGCGUGGAGGAUGAAGGUCUUCGGAUUGUAAACUCCUGUCAUCCGGGAGCAAGACCUGACGGUGAAUAGCCGGCAGGGUUGAUAGUACCGGAAGAGGAAGGGACGGCUAACUUCGUGCCAGCCGCCGCGGUAAGAC
rnacentral:rRNA from 1 species